AAGAAAUCUCUUUGUGAUUUUUUUUUAUCUGCAAAAUGUGAAUAGUAGCAGUAUCUCACUGGUUUUAUGAGGAUCACUAUUAGUAGGCAUUGUUGGACACAUAUUCAGUGUAACUUCUCAGUAAAAGUCAGAGAUUAGAUAGUUAGAUGCACUCAGAGGCUUUGCACUGAGCAGGAUGUAGGUAAAAACAUUUAGUAAUAAGGUACUGAUAUUACAAAUU